rnacentral:rRNA from 1 species
AGAGAGAGACAUGCGCGCAUAUCAAUAAGCGGAGGAAAAGAAACUAACAAGGAUUCCCCUAGUAACGGCGAGUGAAGCGGGAAGAGCUCAAAUUUGAAAUCUUAAAGGGUUUCCCUUUACGAAUUGUAGUUUAAAGAAGUGUUUUCUGUUGAGGUUUUGGUAAAAGUUCUUUGGAAUAGGACAUCAUAGAGGGUGAGAAUCCCGUAUUUGACCUUUACUUUCAACUUUGUGAUACACUUCCAAAGAGUCGGAUUGUUUGGGAAUGCAGUCCAAAAUGGGUGGUAGAAUUUCAUCUAAAGCUAAAUAUUGGCGAGAGACCGAUAGCGAACAAGUACCGUGAGGGAAAGAUGAAAAGAACUUUGAAAAGAGAGUUAAACAGUACGUGAAAUUGUCAAAAGGGAAGCGUUUGACACCAGUGUUGUUUUUCUGAAAAUCAAUUAAAGAACUGUUUAUGCUAAGUUGUUUAGACUUUAUCAGCUAACUGUUUAGUUUUGAGCUUUUCUUUAAUGCACUUUUCAGUUAACAAGUCAACAUCAAUUUCUUUUGCUGUAAAAAAGCUUGAGGAAGGUGGCUUGAGAUUCGUCUUAAGUGUUUAUAGCCUCUUGCCUAUGCAGUCGGAGAGAUUGAGGUCUGCAGCGUAGAUCCUUCGGGGCUAAAUGCAUUUGUGCUAAGUUAUAGCAUUUUAUAGACAACUUGUUGACUAUGAUUUGUCUUGUAGCUUACUCGCUUAUGUUAUUUUACCUACGCUUAGGAUGUUGAAGACUCUACAGAGAUA